AUGAAGUCUCUCUCUGGCAUUGACAAACUUCUGAGGUUGAAGGAGAUUGAGUGCACUGGUAACCAUGUCCCUCAUCAAGAUGAACCACAAAUAUGUCAGAUAAUAGUUGUCAAGCUAUUUCGUCAUUAUGUACUUGUAAGGGUUGAUCAAUUUGUUCUUAAUUCGUUAGGGCUCCAUGAUACAAAGAUAUAUGAAUCGAUAUACGGAGUUUACAAACUUAGUACCAGCAAAUGGGUGUUCCAUUUUGAUCAGCUACGGAGUUUUGGAACCGACAAGGGAUGCGAAUGGAAUGUUCUGAUCGGCCCGGUGGUCUACUAUUGGAGUUCAUUACAGCGCUUAUACUUGAGCCAGUGUGCAAACACUCUUUGGUGGCCGCUUAGCCGCCCUGAGGACCGUGACGCCAUCUCUGCCUUCAUCGCCGACCUUCGCUCGAUGGCCGUCCGUCUGUCUCUGCCGCCCCCGCCACCUCCGCCGGAGCCCGGUUAG
rnacentral:rRNA from 1 species